GAGCACGUAGGUGGGUUUGUAAGUCAGAUGUGAAAGCCUUCUGUUCAACGGAAGAAUUGCAUCUGAAACUGCGAGUCUUGAGUGUAGGAGGGGAGAAUGGAACUUCUGGUGGAGCGGCGAAAUGCGUAGAUAUCAGAAGGAACUCCGGCGGCGAAAGCGAUUCUCUGGCCUAUUACUGACACUCAGUGUGCGAAAGCUAGGGGAGCAAACGGGAUUAGAUACCCCGGUAGUCCUAGCCGUAAACGAUGGGCACUAAGUAGAGGGGUUUU
rnacentral:rRNA from 1 species